UCUGUAUUCCCCCGCCGAAUCAAACCCCUAUCGCUAAAUUCACUCUCCUUCUUCUUCCUCUGUAUCUAUAAGACAUAAACAGCAACACCAAACACCAACAAAACCCUAAUUUUUAAAUUUUCAUCUUCUUGCCUCACUCACAAGUCACAAGACUCAGAACUAUCUUGAAACUAGGGUUUUAUCUUAUCCAUUUCUCUAUUUUUUCCGAGUUUCAAGGAGAAAUGCUCAAAGAAGAUUCUACGACGGAGCAACACUUGUUCAAUCCCUCUUCUCUCCUCCACUCCGGCUAAGCCUUCUAAACCUUCUUCCUUUCCCAGAGGGGUUUUAAUAGCUCCGGCCAAAAACCUUAUCAUCGUCUCCGUUCAAUUUCUCUACCUAUUCAAUGCAGCAGAUUACUACAAUUUGUUUCUCUACUACGCCCAGUGCUGCUUUCUCGGCGUAUUCGUACCAAAACCUUAUCCCUAAUUCGCCGCCGUCGGUUCGAUUCGCGACUUGCCGAUGCUCAAUUGACGAUAGUGGAACUCGAGCUUGGGUUAGACGAACCGGAACGAAGUCCAAAUGGUUCAAUUCGGGUUCCCAAGACGCGGAGGAGAAAGAUUCUCCGAGUAAGCCGACGAGAACCAAUCGUAGAUAUCGGAGUUCUAACGGCGGUGGUGGAGGAUUGGUUCGUAAUCCAGAUUUGUUGAAAAUUCCAGGAGUUGGUCCGAGGAAUCAGAGAAAGCUCGUUGAAAAUGGAAUUGAAGGUGUUGCAGAGCUCAAGCAAUUGUACAAAGAUAAGUUUUGGGAAGCUAGUCAGAAAAUGGUUGAGUAUCUUCAAAGCUCUGUUGGGAUUAAACAUCGGAACCACGCCGAGAGCAUAACAACGUUCAUCAAACAAAGCGUGGACGAGGAAGAACUCAAGGAUUCUUCUGAGACUAAGCCAAUUCCUAAGAAACGUUUGACCUUCUGUGUUGAAGGGAACAUUAGUGUUGGGAAGACUACGUUUCUUCAGAGAAUAGCUAAUGAAACCAUUGAGCUUCGUGACCUUGUUGAGAUUGUUCCUGAACCUAUUGAUAAAUGGCAGGAUGUUGGACCUGACCAUUUUAAUAUCUUAGAUGCUUUCUAUGCUGAGCCUGAGAGGUAUGCUUAUACUUUCCAGAACUAUGUGUUUGUCACUCGGCUGAUGCAGGAGAAAGAGUCUUCCUCUGGGAUCAAACCUCUUCGGUUGAUGGAGCGUUCUGUGUUUAGUGACCGAAUGGUGUUUGUACGAGCUGUUCAUGAAGCGAAAUGGAUGAACGAGAUGGAGAUAAGCAUAUAUGAUUCUUGGUUCGAUCCUGUGGUUUCUUGUUUACCAGGACUUGUUCCUGAUGGGUUCAUUUACUUGAGGGCGAGUCCCGACACUUGUCACAAGCGGAUGAUGUUAAGGAAACGGGAGGAAGAAGGUGGAGUCUCGUUAAAGUACCUCCAAGAUCUUCAUGAGAAGCAUGAGAGCUGGCUCCUUCCGUUUGAGAGCGGGAACCAUGGUACAUUCUCUGUUAGUAAACCACCUGUUCACAUGGACAACGCUCUUCAUCCUGAUAUAAGGGAUCGCGUGUUUUACUUGGAAGGAAACCAUAUGCAUUCUAGCAUCCAGAAGGUUCCUGCAUUGGUACUUGACUGUGAACCCAAUAUCGACUUUAGCAGAGACAUUGAAGCAAAGAGACAGUAUGCACGCCAGGUUGCAGAGUUCUUUGAAUUUGUGAAACAGAAGCAAGAAACAUCACCAGAAAAAGGCAAUGGAAGCGACUCAAGCCCACCUCAGGUGUUGAUGCCACAUAAUGGGGAUCUUUGGAUACCAUCAGACGGUAAUCAUUUCCCGGGAGCUGCCCUACAAUCUUUAGAUUUAAGAAAGGCGAUGUCGCUUAUGACCAGAUCACCGUCCUCAUGAUUAUCGUUUUCACCACCAUCCGCUGAUCCUGAUUUUUCUCGGCUUAAGGAUCGCUAGAGAUUGAUUAAUGAAUGUCAUUAGUAAGAGGAGGAUGCAGUUUUGAGGAGAAACUCAGAAACGCAGAGUUAGCUGGUUUCAAAGCUGCCUUAGUUCAUGAUGAUGUGCACCGCGACAUCUUGACACCAAGUAAACUCAUGUUUUCCUGAGGUAAAUAACUCGAUAAUUCAUCUAGUUUUCUCGACCAAAGCAAACGGAGGAAAAACUUAACACGUACGCUGCUUUGGGCCAUAAUGCCAAAGUACUGUUAGUUCCUAGUUUAAUCAACUCUGAGUCAUGGAUCCUUGCUGCACCAACCAUCACAUUAUGUGCUAUCGCCAUGAUUGCUACAUUUGCCCCUUGCAGAUGACCGAGAGCUACAUCUUGUCAGUCUUAGUUUAUUUCCAAUAUUUCUUCUUUUUUUUUGUUUUGUAAAUUUGUUUUUCCACUUAAUUAAGGUAAUGACUUCUCUAAACAAACAAUAAGUACAUUUCAUGGCUCC